rnacentral:rRNA from 1 species
GAAGAACCUUACCUGGUCUUGACAUCCACAGAACUUUCCAGAGAUGGAUUGGUGCCUUCGGGAACUGUGAGACAGGUGCUGCAUGGCUGUCGUCAGCUCGUGUUGUGAAAUGUUGGGUUAAGUCCCGCAACGAGCGCAACCCUUAUCUUUUGUUGCCAGCGGUCCGGCCGGGAACUCAAAGGAGACUGCCAGUGAUAAACUGGAGGAAGGUGGGGAUGACGUCAAGUCAUCAUGGCCCUUACGACCAGGGCUACACACGUGCUACAAUGGCGCAUACAAAGAGAAGCGACCUCGCGAGAGCAAGCGGACCUCAUAAAGUGCGUCGUAGUCCGGAUUGGAGUCUGCAACUCGACUCCAUGAAGUCGGAAUCGCUAGUAAUCGUGGAUCAGAAUGCCACGGUGAAUACGUUCCCGGGCCUUGUACACACCGCCCGUCACACCAUGGGAGUGGGUUGCAAAAGAAGUAGGUAGCUUAACCUUCGGGAGGGCGCUUACCACUUUGUGAUUCAUGAC